UACAUUUCUUGUAUUACCGAAAUAUAAAUUAGCGAAUAAUGAGCGAAUAAUUGAUUACGAGAACGGUUGAUUAUUCUCUUUCCGAAAAUGGAAAGCUCUUCGCGCGGAUAAUGAAAUAUCUUUUAUAAAAUAAGGAUGUUUAAAAUAAGGGUUGAGCGCCCUUCCAGAGUGAUUUUCCAUCGUAUACUUUUAAAGGGCGUCCCCUAGUAAGAGAGUUUAAAAUUUUAGGAAGACGGACUCUCGAACGAGAACGUCAAGAAUCUCUUCGUAAAGAUCCAAGAGGAGACGGGAUAAAUAAACAAAUUCUAUUUUAUUGGCUCGAUGGAUAACUAUAAUUUAUGCAUCAAUUUAUCGUGCAUUCGCGCCCCAGGCUUAUAUUGGUCUCGAAUUGAAAUUAUAGUGAUUCACGAGGAGAGAGAUCUCGAAGUUCGGCGACGGAUCAUGGGAGAAGAUCAAUAUUUUCUAAAACAAGAUUUCGGGCUGAUCGGACUUCUCGAGGUGACUUUUUUCUACCAUACUUGUGAUUUAAAGGACUCGCCAGGUAGAAGAAAUUCAGUUUGGUUCGAAAUUUUGGGAGAACGGAAUUUUAAUUCUCACGCGAACGCGAGGCAUCGAGAAUCCCUGCGUAGAGAUCCAGGAGGAGUACACGAAAUAAAUAAAGAAAUUCUACUUGGCUGGCUCGGAACUGGAGAACUGACAUCAAUUCCCAGGAAGCCAAUUCCGGCGAAACCGGCGACAUAGGAAAGGACACUAAAGCGUCGCACGGUCGGUGGCCGGCGACGCGACGUGGCCGGUACUCGCGAUUUAACCCGCGCCCCCCCCCCGCGCGUAACCCUCUCCUCCUUGCACGGGCUCGAGGGGGUUAAUGAUAAAAGUAGCCGGCACGAACAUCGCGCCUUCAGUCGGUCCGCGGCCUCCUCGUUGACUGCUGUUUUCCCGCCGCUCUCUCUCUCGAGCUGGGAAGAGGAAGCGCAUCGCGAAGUUCGGAGUGUGGAAGUUCUUUCGUUAAUAUGCCCGUGACGAUCUGAGAUUCUCUGGAGAACCACGCGUCGGACGGUGCAAACCUCGAGUCGAUCAUGCAUAAGUUAAUCGUGCUUCUCUGCCUGUUCCACGCGUGCCUACUGCCCUGCGAAGGCGGCACGACUGCCAAUCGAGGAUACGUCUUCACCGCGCCAAGAAGAUUCGUGGCCGGCGAAACCGAGAGCGGCUGUUUGUCGCUGCACAAUCUCGAGCCACCGGCGCACGUUGUCCUGGAGCUGCUGUCUCCGGCGGGUACGAGCGCGGAUGACGAGAUACUUACCAGGACGAACGGCAUCGUCAAGACAGGUACAGAGUUUGAGGCUCGCGUAUUUACGUCUGGGGAUAAUCGAGUAUUCGAAUACGACCCGGCAUGUUAUCGCGUCGCGUGCGCGAUAACGUGUAAUCGUCGAAAAUACGACGGAUUCCUAUGUUCUAUUCAGGGACGUAGCAACGAGAUAGGAGAAGAAAGGGCGAUAUUCGAGCGAACGAGUAGUCCUUAAAGGGAUCCCAAGCAGCACAUAUCGAUUGACAAACCGAUCAACCAACAUCGGGGUUACCAAUUUUGGCUAACGUCUGGUCGACAUUUUGUCAACCAAUGGUGAAGCUGCUCGGGACGAUAAAGAACCGACUAUGUGAUUUAUUUAGGAAUUUGACGAAGAGUUUAUUUUCGGGCACUCGGCUACGCUACUGAACCGCGUCCCGGUCUUUCCUCCUUCUUCCCUCGCAGCUCGAAUCGGACGCUUUAAACAAAUCAUAAAUUGAAAUUGUCGCCGCUUCCUGCGGGGGAGCUAAAUGAGCCGAGUCUCUCGCCGAAGGGGAAAUAAGUAAUCGCUCGGGAUCACAUGGGAAACCCAUCUGUAUUGUUAUGCACGGGGUGAACAACAAGUACGGGGCCUGAUCAAGGAAUAGAAACAUGCCUUGAACUGGCCGUACCUUUUACGAAAUACUUCAAUGGACGAUUGCGAUUGAAAAUAAAAUUCGAUAAAUAUCCCGACUAUGUCGUGGAAACGGAAAA
rnacentral:misc_RNA from 1 species